AGUAAAAUCAAAGAGAUAUAUGCUGAUACAACUGACCUUUAUUCAGUAGGUCUCGGGUUCGAACCCCGACGCUCUCACCA
rnacentral:tRNA from 1 species